CGCAGAGGAGAAAAGCAGCCGUGCUUGUUCCAGAAAGACUGAUGUGCACUCCGGCGCGCCCUGGGCACCUGCGGAGAGGGAGUCUGCAGACACGCCUUGGCUAACGCUUAGGAAUCUGGUACGGGAGGCUCGGCGUGACCUGGCUGCAUCAUGUGGACAGAGCUACAGAGGAGGAUGGACAGACAGACCCAGGCAGCCCCACUCAGUGUACGUCUUAACGCUGAGACGAGCACCCGGGCAGGUUGGGGGCUCCUCUGGCUUCACCCCCAACUGCUAAAAGGCCAGUGGGUGUCAUCACGGCGUAACCCUCCCUCCACAAAUGAGAUCUUCAGGGAGCACUUAGCGAAUGCAGGACAAGGGGAGAAACAGACCUGCACGAAGCCUUCAGACACCUCCUUCUCCCUCCCAUGUACAAGUAAGUCGGUCUUUCCCGCUGGGGCCGGGGGCGCUGAGCUGCGAGGGAGCGUUCUCAUUUACUGCCGCCUUCAGCUUUCUUUGAGCCGGAGAAGCCGCUCUCUAAAGGGGACCAGUAGCUUCUCAGAGAGCCAAGGGCAAGGUGAAGCAGCCUGGGUGAGGUGGCCACACACGGGCAUCCAUGUCGGCAAACUGCCUGAGUCCUGCCGCACACUAACUGUGAGACAAGCAACUGAUGUCAUCCUUCUGAGCUUCCACUUCCUUCCCUGUGCAAUGGGCUUCAACGCGGAGGCAAGAUUGUGGGUCUCAAGCGUUUCCCAGGGGGCCGCUGCGCUUGGCA
rnacentral:lncRNA from 1 species